rnacentral:tRNA from 2 species
GCGGAUGUAACUCAAUGGUAGAGUGCAAUCCUUCCAAGUUUGAGGCUGCGGGUUCGAAUCCCGUCAUCCGCU